rnacentral:rRNA from 1 species
UACGGGGGGAGCAAGCGUUGUUCGGAUUUACUGGGCGUAAAGGGCGCGUAGGCGGCCUGUGCAAGUCAGUUGUGAAAUCUCCGAGCUUAACUCGGAACGGUCAACUGAUACUGCUCGGCUAGAGUGCGGAAGGGGCAACUGGAAUUCUUGGUGUAGCGGUGAAAUGCGUAGAUAUCAAGAGGAACACCAGCAGCGAAGGCGGCGCUCUGGGCUGGAACUGACGCUGAGGAGCGAAAGCGUGGGUAGCAAACAGG